rnacentral:misc_RNA from 1 species
AAAAACAUUGAUGUACUUUUGGUUGAACAAGAGAUAGUUGGUGAUGAUAGGACUGCACUUGAAGCUGUUGUUUCAGCUAACGAGGAGCUAAUCAAGCUCCGAGAAGAGGCUGCAUCUUUACAGAAUGCUGCUGCAACUGUUGGUGAGAAUGAAGAUGAUGCUGAUGGGGACAACAUUGUAGAAAAACUUUCUGAACUGUACGAAAGGUUGCAGCUGAUGGGAUCAGAUGCUGCUGAGGCCCAAGCAUCAAAAAUUCUUGCUGGGCUGGGUUUCACCAAGGAAAUGCAGGGGCGUGCUACCCGAUCUUUUAGUGGUGGUUGGAGGAUGAGAAUUUCUCUAGCACGGGCUCUUUUUGUUCAGCCUACUCUAUUGUUGUUGGAUGAACCUACAAAUCAUCUUGACCUUCGGGCUGUUCUAUGGUUAGAGGAGUACUUGUGCAGAUGGAAGAAAACUUUGGUCGUUGUUUCACAUGAUCGAGACUUUCUGAACACUGUUUGCGGUGAGAUUAUUCAUCUCCAUGACAUGAAACUACACUUCUAUCGUGGUAACUUUGAUGAUUUUGAAAGUGGAUAU